rnacentral:rRNA from 1 species
UACGUAGGGUGCAAGCGUUAAUCGGAAUUACUGGGCGUAAAGCGUGCGCAGGCGGUGAUGUAAGACAGCUGUGAAAUCCCCGGGCUCAACCUGGGAACUGCAUUUGUGACUGCAUCGCUGGAGUGCGGCAGAGGGGGAUGGAAUUCCGCGUGUAGCAGUGAAAUGCGUAGAUAUGCGGAGGAACACCGAUGGCGAAGGCAAUCCCCUGGGCCUGCACUGACGCUCAUGCACGAAAGCGUGGGGAGCAAACAGG